rnacentral:rRNA from 1 species
AUUGAACGCUGGCGGCAGGCCUAACACAUGCAAGUCGAGCGGGGUUUUCGGACCUAGCGGCGGACGGGUGAGUAAUGCGUAGGAAGCUACCCGAUAGAGGGAGAUACCAGUUGGAAACGACUGUUAAUACCGCAUAAUGUCUACGGACCAAAGUGUGGGACCUUCGGGCCACAUGCUAUCGGAUGCGCCUCCGUGGGAUUAGCUAGUUGGUGAGGUAAUGGCUCACCAAGGCGACGAUCCCUAGCUGGUUUGAGAGGAUGAUCAGCCACACUGGAACUGAGACACGGUCCAGACUCCUACGGGAGGCAGCAGUGGGGAAUAUUGGACAAUGGGCGCAAGCCUGAUCCAGCCAUGCCGCGUGUGUGAAGAAGGCCUUCGGGUUGUAAAGCACUUUCAGUAGGGAGGAAGCGUUGUGUGUCAAUAGUACACAGCGUUGACGUUACCUACAGAAGAAGCACCGGCUAACUCUGUGCCAGCCGCCGCAGUAAGAC